rnacentral:rRNA from 1 species
UUCGGAAUUACUGGGCGUAAAGGGCUCGUAGGUGGCCAACUAAGUCAGACGUGAAAUCCCUCGGCUUAACCGGGGAACUGCGUCUGAUACUGGAUGGCUUGAGUUCGGGAGAGGGAUGCGGAAUUCCAGGUGUAGCGGUGAAAUGCGUAGAUAUCUGGAGGAACACCGGUGGCGAAGGCGGCAUCCUGGACCGACACUGACACUGAGGAGCGAAAGCCAGGGGAGCAAACGGG